UACUUAAAUUUCUUUCUUGUUUUUAUUCAUUUCCAUCUUUGUCCACAGCUGAUCGCGAGUUUCUUACUUUUCGUGUGUUACAGUGCAUCUCAAACUGCUCGCUACAUUGGUUUUUAUCUUUGAUAACUAACUAUUUUAUUGCAUUCAUUUGUUAUAAAUAUUUUUGUCAUCGCGCUUUUUACUUUUAUUAUUUAACAUUUUUUAUAUUUUUGUUUAAUACUGUUUUUGUUCACUAUGACUUGUAUUUUUCCGAACUGCUCUGUGAAAGGCGAGUAGGAACGCUAUGUUUCUUGUUGGCUUUGUGAUGGGCUUGCCCAUCUUAAAUGUGCUGGACUGACAGGUAAGAUUUUGGAUUCCAUUCUUGACAGUAAGGGCUUGCGCUGGUCUUGCUUGAAAUGCAGACUAACUGAAAUUGAAUUGUUUAAAGUUUUUAAGCAGGCGCGCAAUGGUUUCAAGGAGAUUGGUCGAGAGCUUGAAACCCUUACUGGUGGAAUAGUCCGCUAUGGUUAACAGAAAGUCGAAAAAUCGACUCCUUUCACACGACAUUGGAUGAUACUGACAUCCUUGAGCGAUUUUCAUCAUACCCCCGAGCUCUCAGGGUAAACGCUUCCAUGAUAAAUUUCAUCAAGCGACUCAUAAUUAGAGUGAAGGGAGAACCCCCGCUGUUCUCCCAAGGCGAUGUAUUGACGCACCUAAACCUAGAAAAGGCAAAGGUCGCUCUUAUCACUUAUACUCGUCGCGCCACUUCAGCUGCGAUAUGUCACUACUAAGAGAAUCGAAGCCGAUUGACAAAAAGGAGCUCACUCUUAGUACUAAAUCCAUUUCUGGAUACAAAAGGUCUGCUUCGUGCUAAUGGUUGGCUUGCCAACUCUAGCCUGACAUAUAACGAACGCCAUCCGCUAAUAAUACCAGAGAAGACUCGACUUGCAACACUGCUACUCAAGUAUAUACACAUACUAAUGUUGUACGCGGAACAUCGCCUAAUGCAACAUAUAACCCGCCAGGAGUUCUAUAUUCCCCGACUUAAGCCUCAAAUAAAAAAGUGCAUUUUCAUGUGCAAUAUCUGCACUAUGCAUAAACAGAAGAUGAGGAUGCAGAUUAUGGCAGCACUUCCACCGGAACGCUGCAACUUCGCUCUGCCAUUCACUAUUGCAGGUGUAAAUUUUGCUGGGCCUUUUCAGAUAAAGGCGUCCAUGCUAAGGUCUCCCACACUAAUGAAAGGCUACGUGGCUGGCUUUGUAUGUUUUACGGCAAAAGCAGUGCACCUCGAACUAUGUACUAAUCUGACAAAAGAGGCUUUCCUGGCGGCAUUUGCUCGCUUCGUCGGUUUUCCGUCCAAACUUAUGAGCGACAAUGGAAAAACUUUUAUUGGGACUCAAAAAGCCACAGAAAAACAGUUUGUGGACUUUAUUAAACAAGUCUCCCCUGAGAUUGUACAAAAGUACGCUCCCCAUGGCAUUAAUUGGCAAUUCAUCCCUCCAAGAGCUCUAUGGGAAUCAGCGAUAAAAAGCUUCAAAUCCUAUUUAAAAAAGGUAGCUGGAAACUACUAAUUUAAUUACGAAGAGUUUACAACACUAUUAAUUCGCAUUGAAGCCGUUCUCAAUACACGGCCACUCACAACACUCUCGCAAGAUCCCUCAGAUCUCACAGCCCUAACUCAAGGCACUUUCUUAAAGCAGCACCCAUUCUGGCCACACCUGAGCCAGGCGUGGAGUCGCUAUCCUUAUUAAAUCGAUGGGAGAGAAUUAAAAUUCUCCAUCAUAAUUUCAGCCGCAGAUGGAAAGAAGACUAGUUAAAGGACCUCCACAUGAGGUAUCUGUGGAAAACAUCAGAAAAUGCGCCAAAUCCUGAAGAUUGUGUACUUAUUAACGAUGAUUGUCUCCCACCUACAGAAUGGCGGCGCGGCCGCAUAGCAAAGCUGCAUUACUAUUCCGACGGUCACAUACGAAUCGUUGAUAUCCGUACGCAAAACGGAACGCUGACCUGACCGCUCGUGAAGCUGUGCUUUCUGCCAACCUCCGAUGAUCGCGAAUCCGCAAACCGCAAACAACAAGCCGAUGUUCCCGCGAUACAAUUAACUAAUUAAAUAAAACGUUAAAAAACAAGAAACACGCUAAUACCAACCGUUAAAAAUAAUAUUCCGUAAGCAAUUAACAAAAAAAACUAAUCACAAUGGUCGAUCAAUACGAUGGCCCAUUCAUGCCACAUAUCGUGGCACGAUUGCUCAUAUCUAACCAUGACAGAUUUAUAAUUAACAAUCUCCUUUAUACAUAGUAGGUUACCAUGGACCUAGAUACGCCAGUGUUAGCCACGCCAAUCGUUCGGUCGGCUACCAGCGUGCAACGCACCGGGCCUACCCCAACCGGGCCUACCGAGCUGCAGUUGCAACAGCACCGGCAACAGGCAAUCGUUCAUCACGGGGGAUAUUUAGAGGAAUGCGACCGUUACAACGACAGCAAGUGGCCCAGGCACAUGCGCACUGUCUAAACUGCCUAUCGCAGACGCAUAGGCAUCAAAAGUGUGGGUCGAGGGGUUUAUGCCAAAUCUGCAACAGACCACAUCACACGCUGCUUCAUCGAACCGCGAUGCGCGAUGUGAAUCGGUCACCUAUACCUCGCAGCCACGCAACAAGGCAUCAACCCGGAAGUCGAGCAGUGCAUCAGCGGGAUGUCUAAAUGAGUCUCAGACCCCCUCACAAUAUUACACUCCCACACCACACACAUUACAUACACCACAUCGUCAUUCACCACCACAUCUUAACUACACACCACAUCAUCAUUACAUUCCACAUCACACGCACACAAAUACUACAACAUCACGAUUUCAACAUACCCAACAAAGGAACAAAAGGGACGGACGCAAGCAUCAAGCCUCGCUUAAAUCCCGCAUCUAACCGCUUAUCCAUUUUCGUUGCGCAUAUUAAUUUUUUCCAUACAAGAAGCAGUUCAAAAAACUGCCCAAUACCGCAGAAAGAAAAGGGACAACUACAUCUAGAACUCAUUCUUCUGAAAUCAUUUGCUGGUAAAACUAACAUUGAUGAAAAAACUUUAGAGCUAUUGCAAAGCCUUCCCGAUGUAAAAUAAAUAACGUCACUGCUGACAAUCAUAACUUCGAAGGUGUAGAUAAUUUCGUCUAUUUUGGAACCAGCUUUAACAGCAACAACAAUGUCAGCCUGGAAAAUCCAACGCAGGAUUGCUCUUGCCAACAGGUGCUACUUCGGACUAAGUAGGCAAUUGAGAAGCAAAGUCCUCUCUCGACGAACAAAAACCGAACUCUAUAAGUCACUCCUAAUACCAGUCCUGCUAUAUGGUGCAGAGGCUUGGACGAUGACAACAACUGAUGAGUCGACAUUGCGAGUUUUCGAGAGAAAAGUUCUGCGAGUGAUUUAUGAUCCUUUGCGGGUUGGCCACGGCGAAUAUAGCAUUCGAUGGAACGAUGAACUGUAUGAGAUAUAUGACGACAUUAACAAAGUUUAGCGAAUUAAAGACAAAUCUGAAAGUAUUCGACGCAGUACCCGCCGGGAGAAGCAGAGGAAGAGGAAGACCUUCACUCCGUUGGAAGGACCAGGGUUCUCUUGGCGCCACGUAGCGAAAAGGAAAGAAACGACCGGCGCGCUGUUGUUAAGAAGAAGAAGAAUAGUUACAGAUUCGUCCACAAAGUCCUUUAAUUUGUUCCUAGCUAAAAAAAUUAUAACAUUAACUUUAAUAAAAUUUUUGGCAUGGACAUUGGCCGACAUCAUUGAUUACACAAAUGACGAAUAAAGUAUGUAUAGUACGAAAGAAACAAGUUGUAAUAUACGAUACUCUUGGAGACAUAUUCUACAUAACAAGCUUAACUUAUUACACACCAUUAUGGCACGAAGAAAAACAACAAUAUACUCUCACGCAGUUUCUUUCGAAACGGAAUUAGACCCUAAUAGAGUAAUUUUUUUCACUGAAAAGAAAUAUAGUAAAGCGAGGCCUUAAAUAAAUACUUCUAGGUACAAUUUCGAAACAGAUUGCCGGAACCCCAGAUCAUGACGACUUCACAUUGUUAUCAAAUAAAAUAAACAGACAGUUUACAUUAUACUCUGAAACAUUUAAGAAAAUACGACGAUUGAAAAAUUUAGUAAAGACUACUGCAGGAAUUUGCCACAAAAAAAUUGUUUGAACAUAUAGAAUGAAACUUAUUAUUAAUUAUUAAUGAACAAAAUAAUUUAUAAAGCAAAACUUUGGCAAAAUCAAAUAUCUUACAUCCUCAUAUCCUUCACAAUGACGAGACAAAAGAAAACUUUAAGCACGUAUUAAAACUCUUGACAAUAACCGACCUUUUAGACGAACAUUCAAAAUAAUUUAAGAUUCAGAUAAAGAAGUCUUUUACAUCAAAUAUCCAAUAAUUAAAAAAUUUAGUUAGCACUUUUUGAGGCAAGAUCAAUCUCAAAUGAUAACGGCAAAAUUUUUAUUAUAAAACAAGUAGCUUCCUGCAACAACUCUUUCACACAAAAUCUUCAUCUUCUUUAUAUAUAAAAAGUACAUGUCACGUUUUUGACCGCGCCGGACUCUUAAACUACUGAACCGAUUUUAGUAAAAUUUAGCACACUAUGUCCGGUUCGAACCAACUAAGAAGAUAGGAUAGUAAAAACAAUUCAAAAAUAAACAAGUAAGGAAGGGCUAAGUUCGGGUGUCACCAAACAUUUUAUACUCUCGCAUGGUAAAGUGAUAAUCGAGAUUUCAUAAUACGUCAUUUACAUAUUUUUCAAAUACCGUAUUUUUGUAAAGUUUUAUUCCGCUAUCAUCAUUGGUUCCUAAUGUAUAUAUUAUACAGAGAAGGCAUCAGAUGGAAUUCAAAAUAGCUUUAUAUUGGAAGAAGGCGUGGUUGCGAACCGAUUUCACCCAUAUUUCGUACAUGUCA